AAUGGUCAUCAGUGCUCCUGCUGAGAAGACCAGCCACUCUGCACAUUGCAGAGAAUAACUUUAAUAUUUAAAAAAAAUAAAGACCAUACUUCUUUUAAAGAUCUUGCUCUAAACAAACUGAAUUAUUCAUGCACAGAAUUGUACAGCAUUAGAACACCUGUUUUCAAUCAUGCAUAAUGUAAAAUCACUCAUUACCUCACAAGAGCCUCUACAUCUCCAGCAAUCAAAUGGCAUUGAAACAGCGGAACAGGUGCUUGGCAGGUGGAUGCAAACAGAUGUUUUGGGCUUGCUUGUCUUUUCUUGUACAGGUGUGGUGAUCUUGUUUUUAGCGGCGUAAUUGCUAUUUAAAUAGGUGAUAUUUAAUUCUUACGUGAUUCAAUAUUUAUUUUUGCUUCUUCAGUUCCUUUUUCCACUCUGCGAACUGUGUAGGCUCCAGGCAGCCCAUGAGAUGUGCAAAGGCUCUGAGCUGUGAGGUGGGGUGAUGGCAUUGCAUUACAGUUACUCUGACUUUCAGUCCACAGGUCCUUGCCCACGACGCUUUCUCCCUUCUCUGCAAAAUCUGUGCUUAAUCACUGCGAAGACCACCUCACUCCCAACUAUCUGACAGUGGACAGGGGCCAGGACCCAAAGAGUGCAAACGUGCCCCAAGAAGAGAGAACGGAAUGAGAAGAUAAGCCAAGCUGCCAGCCCUGUGUCUGACUGUUGGAUUGGGAUUCAGGGCAGGAGUUAAGAUGCUUCACAUCCCAACAGCUGCACUAUGUCUUCAGGAUCUGAGAAACUGGACAAGACAACUGAAAAGGAAUCCAGUUGUUUAAGCUUCGGCUGGGAUUGUGUUUAUAUUUGUUUUGCUUGUAGCCUUUCGUUUCCAGCCUUGCAACUAAAAGCCUGACCUUGUCUUGCUUAAUAAACCUCAUGCAGAAGCUUUA